UACGUAGGUGGCAAGCGUUAUCCGGAUUCACUGGGUUUAAAGGGUGCGUAGGCGGGCAGGUAAGUCAGUGGUGAAAUCUCCGGGCUUAACCCGGAAACUGCCGUUGAUACUAUCUGUCUUGAAUAACGUGGAGGUAAGCGGAAUAUGUCAUGUAGCGGUGAAAUGCUUAGAUAUGACAUAGAACACCCAUUGCGAAGGCAGCUUACUACACGAUCAUUGACGCUGAGGCACGAAAGCGUGGGGAGCAAACAGG
rnacentral:rRNA from 1 species